rnacentral:lncRNA from 1 species
UUUUUUUUUUUUUUUUUUUUUUUUUUUAGCAUCGACCUUUGUCAAAGAAACAUUGUUUGGCUUUUAUUCAAUGGUAAAGACAACUCAUAAUCUUAAAGCUUUUAGCAACAUCCACGGAUGGAAUAGUGAUCUAGAAGAGCGAUAUCGAAUAGGACGUCUGUGCUGUCCAAGAUGUGGCCACAGGCACUUGGAACGUAGCUGGUGUGACCAAAUAACGGAAUUUUAUUUAUUUUUAAAAAAUUUCAUUACAGUAUUGUUGAUUUACAGUGUUGUGUCAAUUUCUGCAGUACAGCAUAGUGACCCAGUAUAUAUAUAUAUUCUUUUUCUCAUAUUAUCUUCCAUCAUGUUCUGUCCCAAGAGACUGGUUAUAGUUCCCUGUGCUGUACAGUAAGACCUCAUUGUUUAUCUAUUCUAAAUGCAAUAUUUUGCUUUUACCAACCCCAAACUCCCAGUCCAUCCCAGUUCCUCCCCCCCACACCCCUGGCAACCACAAGUCUGUUCUCUAUGUCUGUGAGUCUGUUUCUGUCUUGUAGAUAAGUUCAUUUCUGCUAUAUUUUAGAUUCCACACAGAAGUGAUAUCAUAUGGUAUUUGUCUUUCUCUUUCUGACUUAUUUCACUGAGUAUGAGAAUCUCUAUGCCCAGGAGUGGGAUUGCUGGAUCACAUGGUAGUUCUAUAUUUAGUUUUCUGAGGAACCUCCAUACUGUUUUCCACAGAGGUUGUAGCAAUUUACAUUUCCCCCAACAGUGAAGGAGGGUUCUUUCUUGAAUUUUAAAAUGUAUUUUAUUUUUAUUUAUUUGAAUUUAAAAUUUUGGUAGCCAUAUAUGGCAGCUCAAAUCCAGAAUGUGCUUAAAUGCUCUUUUAGACUGUCAUCUAAAGGAAAACACAAAAUUUAAAUGAAAAUUUCAUCUUUGGAGAAUGGUGGUCUAGAUGACGUCUGGAUUCAGUCAUUCUCUACAUUUGCUCUCAUUUUGCUCAUCCCACGAUGACUUUGAUGACUAACCCUUGACAUGUGAGAAGGGUUCCUGGGAAAGGAUUAGACCUCUCAUCCACCUAUCAGUAAGAGAUUGAUCCUCUGUGUGUGCCAAACCAGUUUCUAAAGCUCAAAGACUAAGGUUGAGACCCUGGACCUGAUGCAUUUCCUAAGGGUACCCCACUGAGGGCCACCAACUGGGUGGGUACCCUCUGAUGUCACCUCAUCCACACUGUCUGUGACUUUCCUUUCAAAGGUCAAUGGUAUUCACAUAACUUAAAGAGCGGCACAGGGUAUUGAAUGGUCAUUUUAGGCCAGAGACAUGCUAGGUGUUUACUGUGUCUCAUUUGAUCUCAUUCAACUUUGCAUGAGCAGAAUUUUCAUCCUUGUUUUACACUUGAGUAAACUGAGCCGCUCCUUGCAGGUUUCACAGCUAGAAUGGGGGCACUUGGCCUUGAACUCAGGACACUGGUUUUCAAAGAUCCUGUCUCUGUAGCUGGGCUUGAAGUAGCCUGAUGAAGAGCAGGCAAUGGAGCUUGACUCACUUGUGCUGAAGUCAAAGGGUUCUUCUUAAGCAGCAAGAUGUGAACUCAGGUAAUUCUUCCAAAGCAUGCAUCUCCUGGGCUUUUGGCUUCCACCUUAAGGAGUGUAUGUCUCAAAUGAAAUUCCCUUCUGAGUUUUCUUGUUGAGCAGUAUUACCGUCUUGGAGAGAUUUGCCAAAAGAUGCUUGUUCCUGCUGGGAUUUGGUCUACAAAGGAAGCCUUUGUUGUUCACAGAGACUCUCCAGGCUCAGGACCCAGAGCAGCCAAGUCCUGUUCUGGAUGAUCUAAGUGAGCGGAAGCCACUCUCUCCACACACAGGUGACAGUCACGUGCAGGCUUUGCUCAGCUGUCGGAAUGCCAGAGCAAAGAUGGUGCCUUGUGUAGCUGUCCAAUAAAAGAGACACAAGGCAGAUAUUUGGUUUGACUAGAGAUUAGGGAACAAAGCAUGUGCCGUUUUCCCAGCAGUACAGACCAGGAAUGGUGGGUGGGUUGCUGACAAUAAGCAGAGGAUGCUGUUGAGAAGAGGCAGCCCCAGAGCAUCAUGUGUGAUGUCUUUGCUUGGAAGACACACUCAUGUUACCUUGGCCUUCGGUCUGGGAGAACCCUUCCUCUGACACCCUGUGUAUGAUCACACUCCUUUGAGCUUCCUCCGAACAGAUUCUGGGUGGUGCCCUCGGAAGUGUGUCUGCCUCAGAUUUGACUCAACAGCCGUUUGGGAUCUGAGUGGAAUUUUCUGCUUGCCAAGGAGCCCUCUGUAGCAGAGUGGAACGUGGUGGGAGAGCAUGGACUUUGCAGUUGGGCAGAGCCAGUGUCCAACCUGUCAGUAGCCCAGCUUAGACACUAUUUUGGAAGGGUCAUUUCUGAAUGGACCUCUGGGGAGGGGGGACUUUGAUGUCAGCCACAUACAGUUCUCAUCCACUCCUCACCAUUCCACAUAUUGCUGGGGGGUCACGUGACCAGUCCUGGCGAAUGGCCUGUAAGCACAGUAGAGGUGUGUCACCUCUGGGCUAAAGCAUUUAACUGCCAGCGUGAGACACUCCCGCUCUCAUUUCCGCCACUGUGCCUAUGCUGGCAGCACCACGAGGGGUGAGGAUUCCACGAGACUGAAGCAGGAUGAAUCUCUGUGCCACCACAGGAGGCCAUCUGCUCUGGAGUCUUCUGAGUCCACAGUGGGGUUUAUGGGAUAAAAAAAAAAACAAAAAACCUAGAAAACUAAUGAAGUAUGAGGAUUUCUGUAACCAAAGUAUAAUUUUGCCAGUUUCAAUGAACAACAUCUUUUUUCUUUUCUGUACGGAGAGAUUACUAAAAAAAAGGCCAGGUGUUGUGUCCUGCCACGUGCCCAGGCUGGUCUGGUGUCCUGAAUGGACACAAUCUCUUUCAGCCUCAGCAUUACUUUGCAAGUCUUGGGUGUUUUUAUUUGGAGAUGAAAAAAAAGACAAAGUUCGAUAAUCACGUGAUGGACAUUCUCCUCCUGGUGUGCCCAACGCCCCAGUCCGAGGUGGGAAAGUAGCCACCUCAACAUGUGGAGGCAGGCAUUCUAAGUAAGAAAACAUUCAGGCCACCCUUGGAGAACCUGUUCUAAUAUCUCAAAUCUGCAUCCAUCAGCAGCUCCACACAGAUUUUCUCUGAGCUGCUAUGCUCUUCCCCCAGAUAUCCCAGGACAACUCACUCCCUGGGCACUUUCAGGUCUUGCUUUCUCAGUGAAACCUGUCCUGACCAUCUCACUGAGUCACGGUCACUGCCCCUACCCACCACGGCCACUCCAGUAGUUCCAUACUCUGUGCUGUUUUUCCCACAGCACUUGUCACUCUCUAAUAGUGUAUCAUUUACUUCUUUAUUAAUAUCGUUCACUUUCCUUAUGUACUGUCUGACUCUCCCAUUAGAACACAAGCUUCACCAUGGAUUAUUUUGUUCAGAGAUCUUUUCCCAGCACCUAGAACAAUUUCUGGCUUGUAAUAGAUGUUCAACGAGUAUUUCUGGAAAGGAAGACAAAAGGCAAGGAAGGAAGAGAAAGAGAGGGGAAGAAAGAACUCUUAUGUUCAAUUCUGUGAACAUGCUGUGAAUGAAUUGUGGGCAAAGGAUGUUGCCUGUCAUCCCAGGGAACAAAGGAUGUGACAGCCAUCAUGCCAGCAGCCCCUGCAGCCCUUGCACACUGAGGGGACUUGGGAUGGGGAAAAUCAGGGUACUGGCCCUGCCCAGUGAAGGUGCAUAUCAAAGGAAUGAUUUCGAUGAGCCCAGCCUCCUGCAUCUUCUCAUACAUAGCAAAGGCUAAAUGCAUUGACUUGAAAUGUUUGGUUUUCUUUAAUUAACAGUCAUCUUUUGAUGUUCUAUUUGGUCUUUGUUGCAAAACUGGCUCCUCCCAUACGUCUUCAGAGCAGUUCCUCAGAGCCACCGGAGAGGCUGUCUCCUGGGAUUAAGUCCCCAGUAAGCCUGCCAAAUAAAACAUAAUUCUCCACUUUUAGGUUGUGCAUAUAUAUAUUUUUUUUCAGUCAACAGGAUGAAUGAAUGAAGUGGAAAUCCAGGCUCUUCACAUUGCUAGAACCCAUACUCGUAACCCCCAGAUCUUAGAGAUAAUUUAGGAAAUCCUUUGGGAUUAUGCCUCAUGCCUCACUAGUAGCAAGACGGAAUAAAGUGAUAGACUAGUGACAAGACAGAAUAAAGGGGUGUUUCUGUGCUGUCUGUGUCUUAUUUUACUUACUUAUUGAUUUAUUAUCAAAGGGAACAUGUUGGAAGUGGAUGAAAAAAAUUCCUGCAGAUGCAAAGGCCCUCGUGGGUAGGCUGGAGCCCAGUGGUGUCUGUUCUCUUUCUUCUCCUCCUUCCCACUCCCACCUCCUGGCUCAAUGGUGCCUCUGGGCAGGGGACCUGCAUUCCAAAGGGGUUCUGGCCUCUUUAGGUGCGAAUGCCUUUGAAGACGGAUCAUGAGACAAGUUGAGUCUUGGGUGUGAAGAGCCACGGCUAAAUGCCUGUCAGAAUGAAGUUGCCUGCACACUGCAGCGUGAAGCAGCUUGGAGAAGUGAGGGCAUGCCACUGCCACCAGAGCCAGUCUCCUUGACCUCCCUCCCUGUUCAUCUCCCUCCACCUCCCAAGGGCAACUUUGCUCCAGAGCCAGGUGUCUGCUGGUGGGUGUCAGGGCGCCUUCUCAUCCGUUGUUGGCAGUUACCAUGCAGCUGUAAAUGAUGGGAACAAAGACCCUUCAGAAAGAACUUGCUCAAGUCCUGUGUCCUCAUUAGACCUGAAUUUUGAAGAUCUUUAGAUUCUUGAUAUUUAUCUUGAUUAUUUCUGUACAUCCUUCCUCCAGACUCAUUCUUUUAUUUUAGUUCUCAGUCCUCAUCUGUGCGUUAGUUUGUUACUCUGUUUUCUAAGUCAUUCAUUUAAAAAAUAGGUAAGCAUAGCUACCAAGGGCAGGAGUUAUGGUAGGCACUGUGGGAGGUGCAAAGAUGAAUUAGGGGAGUUCUUAUUGUGGCUCUGUGGGUUAAGAACCCCUCAUAGUGUCCAUGAGGUUGCGGGUUCGAUCCCUGGUCUGGCUCAGUGGGUUAAGGAUCUGGCAUUGCCAUAAGCUGCAGCAUAGGUUACAGAUGCAGCUCAGAUCUGGCUUAGAUCUGUGGCUGUAGCAUAGGCUGGCAGCUGCCUGGGAUUCAACCCCUAGCCUGGGAACUUCCAUAUGCUGUAGGUGUGGCCAUAAAAAGAAAAAAAAAAAAA